rnacentral:rRNA from 1 species
GACGAACCGAGCGAACGUUGUUCGGAAUCACUGGGCUUAAAGGGCGCGUAGGCGGGCUGUCAAGUCUGGGGUGAAAUCCCGCGGCUCAACCGUGGAACUGCCUUAGAUACUGACGGCCUCGAGGGAGGUAGGGGCGAGCGGAACUGUGAGUGGAGCGGUGAAAUGCGUUGAUAUUCACAGGAACUCCGGUGGCAAAGGCGGCUCGCUGGACCUUUUCUGACGCUGAGGCGCGAAAGCUAGGGGAGCAACGGG